UCUUGAAGUAAUUUUUUGAAGCCACAUUUUUUGGAACAACAUAAUUUGAAGUCAUAGCCAACCAAUAAUCUUUUGGACUUAGAAGCAAUAUAGCACUAAUAUUUUGAACUCGGGAAGCUAAUAUUUUGGACUCAAGGAAGCAACAUAGGCAUAAUCUUUUGGCUUGCAACUCAUGGUGAUGUUGUAGAUGUUAGAGGACUGUCUAAAGGUCUUGUUUCUUGUAAAGUUUCGGAAUUUAUUUAUGCUAAUCUGAAGAAACUCAAGUGCAUAUGAGAGAUAAAGCAAUGGAGGAUCACAAGGAAAUUAAACUGAUUUUGAAUUCUUGUCAUGGUAUGAUAUUCUUAGUUGUGAAUUAUUGUUACUGAGUUGGAAACUGAUUCUAAACUUUUGCAGUUAAGUUACUAUUUUUCUUUCUAAUUAGCAGCACUAAUAAUGUGAUAUUAAUAAAUUUGCAGGAUGCCUCAAUCUUUUACUGAUUUUUAGUGCACAAGAGAUCGACCAUAUGUUCUUAACAAUUGACAACAAAACUUUGUAAUAUUUGAUACAUUUAAAUUUCAUUUGGGUUGGCUGUGAUGUGAGCUGUCAAUGAUGAAUGUGUUGUAAUAUUUUAUUGUAUUUAAAGUUCUAAUACCUCUAAACUUUGGAAUUAUGUGGUCCAAUGGAGGAUUUAUUUUCGGUUUGUAUGUUAUUAAUACUCUAAUGCCUCUAAAGCUUGGAAAUAUGUGGCAUACUGGAGGAUUUAUAUUAA